UCGAACGGCAGCGCGGGAGCAAUCCUGGCGGCGAGUGGCGAACGGGUGAGUAAUACAUCGGAACGUGCCCAAUCGUGGGGGAUAACGCAGCGAAAGCUGUGCUAAUACCGCAUACGAUCUACGGAUGAAAGCAGGGGAUCGCAAGACCUUGCGCGAAUGGAGCGGCCGAUGGCAGAUUAGGUAGUUGGUGAGGUAAAGGCUCACCAAGCCUUCGAUCUGUAGCUGGUCUGAGAGGACGACCAGCCACACUGGGACUGAGACACGGCCCAGACUCCUACGGGAGGCAGCAGUGGGGAAUUUUGGACAAUGGGCGAAAGCCUGAUCCAGCCAUGCCGCGUGCAGGAUGAAGGCCUUCGGGUUGUAAACUGCUUUUGUACGGAACGAAACGGCCUUUUCUAAUAAAGAGGGCUAAUGACGGUACCGUAAGAAUAAGCACCGGCUAACUACGUGCCAGCAGCCGCGGUAAUACGUAGGGUGCAAGCGUUAAUCGGAAUUACUGGGCGUAAAGCGUGCGCAGGCGGUAAUGUAAGACAGUUGUGAAAUCCCCGGGCUCAACCUGGGAACUGCAUCUGUGACUGCAUUGCUGGAGUACGGCAGAGGGGGAUGGAAUUCCGCGUGUAGCAGUGAAAUGCGUAGAUAUGCGGAGGAACACCGAUGGCGAAGGCAAUCCCCUGGGCCUGUACUGACGCUCAUGCACGAAAGCGUGGGGAGCAAACCGGAUUAGAUACCCUGGUAGUCCACGCCCUA
rnacentral:rRNA from 1 species